AAUGGCAAGAAGAAGAUGACGUGGUUAAAGUGGGACAAAAUGACUCUGCCGAAAUCAAAAGGCGGCAUGGGGUUCAAAGACAUGAGAGCAUUUAACCAAGCUAUGUUGGCUAAACAGGCUUGGCAUUUAAUUGAUUCCUCUGAUAGUUUGUGUGCCCGCCUUCUAAAGGCCAAGUAUUAUCCGAACGGUAAUAUUCUUGAUACUAUGUUUCCGGCGAACUCAUCGGCAGUAUGGAAAGGUAUUGUUUAUGGCCUGGAUCUGGUUAAGAAGGGUAUUAUAUGA
rnacentral:rRNA from 1 species